rnacentral:rRNA from 1 species
GGUUAAGCGACUAAGCGUACACGGUGGAUGCCCUGGCAGUCAGAGGCGAUGAAGGACGUGCUAAUCUGCGAUAAGCGUCGGUAAGGUGAUAUGAACCGUUAUAACCGGCGAUUUCCGAAUGGGGAAACCCAGUGUGAUUCGUCACACUAUCAUUAACUGAAUCCAUAGGUUAAUGAGGCGAACCGGGGGAACUGAAACAUCUAAGUACCCCGAGGAAAAGAAAUCAACCGAGAUUCCCCAGUAGCGGCGAGCGAACGGGGAGGAGCCCAGAGCCUGAAUCAGUGUGUGUGUUAGUGGAAGCGUCUGGAAAGGCGCGCGAUACAGGGUGACAGCCCCGUACACAAAAAUGCACAUGCUGUGAGCUCGAUGAGUAGGGCGGGACACGUGGUAUCCUGUCUGAAUAUGGGGGGACCAUCCUCCAAGGCUAAAUACUCCUGACUGACCGAUAGUGAACCAGUACCGUGAGGGAAAGGCGAAAAGAACCCCGGCGAGGGGAGUGAAAAAGAACCUGAAACCGUGUACGUACAAGCAGUGGGAGCACAGAGCAAUCUGUGUGACUGCGUACCUUUUGUAUAAUGGGUCAGCGACUUAUAUUCUGUAGCAAGGUUAACCGAAUAGGGGAGCCGAAGGGAAACCGAGUCUUAACUGGGCGUUAAGUUGCAGGGUAUAGACCCGAAACCCGGUGAUCUAGCCAUGGGCAGGUUGAAGGUUGGGUAACACUAACUGGAGGACCGAACCGACUAAUGUUGAAAAAUUAGCGGAUGACUUGUGGCUGGGGGUGAAAGGCCAAUCAAACCGGGAGAUAGCUGGUUCUCCCCGAAAGCUAUUUAGGUAGCGCCUCGUGAAUUCAUCUCCGGGGGUAGAGCACUGUUUCGGCAAGGGGGUCAUCCCGACUUACCAACCCGAUGCAAACUGCGAAUACCGGAGAAUGUUAUCACGGGAGACACACGGCGGGUGCUAACGUCCGUCGUGAAGAGGGAAACAACCCAGACCGCCAGCUAAGGUCCCAAAGUCAUGGUUAAGUGGGAAACGAUGUGGGAAGGCCCAGACAGCCAGGAUGUUGGCUUAGAAGCAGCCAUCAUUUAAAGAAAGCGUAAUAGCUCACUGGUCGAGUCGGCCUGCGCGGAAGAUGUAACGGGGCUAAACCAUGCACCGAAGCUGCGGCAGCGACACUGUGUGUUGUUGGGUAGGGGAGCGUUCUGUAAGCCUGUGAAGGUGUGCUGUGAGGCAUGCUGGAGGUAUCAGAAGUGCGAAUGCUGACAUAAGUAACGAUAAAGCGGGUGAAAAGCCCGCUCGCCGGAAGACCAAGGGUUCCUGUCCAACGUUAAUCGGGGCAGGGUGAGUCGACCCCUAAGGCGAGGCCGAAAGGCGUAGUCGAUGGGAAACAGGUUAAUAUUCCUGUACUUGGUGUUACUGCGAAGGGGGGACGGAGAAGGCUAUGUUGGCCGGGCGACGGUUGUCCCGGUUUAAGCGUGUAGGCUGGUUUUCCAGGCAAAUCCGGAAAAUCAAGGCUGAGGCGUGAUGACGAGGCACUACGGUGCUGAAGCAACAAAUGCCCUGCUUCCAGGAAAAGCCUCUAAGCAUCAGGUAACAUCAAAUCGUACCCCAAACCGACACAGGUGGUCAGGUAGAGAAUACCAAGGCGCUUGAGAGAACUCGGGUGAAGGAACUAGGCAAAAUGGUGCCGUAACUUCGGGAGAAGGCACGCUGAUAUGUAGGUGAAGUCCCUCGCGGAUGGAGCUGAAAUCAGUCGAAGAUACCAGCUGGCUGCAACUGUUUAUUAAAAACACAGCACUGUGCAAACACGAAAGUGGACGUAUACGGUGUGACGCCUGCCCGGUGCCGGAAGGUUAAUUGAUGGGGUCAGCGCAAGCGAAGCUCUUGAUCGAAGCCCCGGUAAACGGCGGCCGUAACUAUAACGGUCCUAAGGUAGCGAAAUUCCUUGUCGGGUAAGUUCCGACCUGCACGAAUGGCGUAAUGAUGGCCAGGCUGUCUCCACCCGAGACUCAGUGAAAUUGAACUCGCUGUGAAGAUGCAGUGUACCCGCGGCAAGACGGAAAGACCCCGUGAACCUUUACUAUAGCUUGACACUGAACAUUGAGCCUUGAUGUGUAGGAUAGGUGGGAGGCUUUGAAGUGUGGACGCCAGUCUGCAUGGAGCCGACCUUGAAAUACCACCCUUUAAUGUUUGAUGUUCUAACGUGGACCCGUGAUCCGGGUUGCGGACAGUGUCUGGUGGGUAGUUUGACUGGGGCGGUCUCCUCCUAAAGAGUAACGGAGGAGCACGAAGGUUGGCUAAUCUCGGUCGGACAUCAGGAGGUUAGUGCAAUGGCAUAAGCCAGCUUGACUGCGAGCGUGACGGCGCGAGCAGGUGCGAAAGCAGGUCAUAGUGAUCCGGUGGUUCUGAAUGGAAGGGCCAUCGCUCAACGGAUAAAAGGUACUCCGGGGAUAACAGGCUGAUACCGCCCAAGAGUUCAUAUCGACGGCGGUGUUUGGCACCUCGAUGUCGGCUCAUCACAUCCUGGGGCUGAAGUAGGUCCCAAGGGUAUGGCUGUUCGCCAUUUAAAGUGGUACGCGAGCUGGGUUUAGAACGUCGUGAGACAGUUCGGUCCCUAUCUGCCGUGGGCGCUGGAGAACUGAGGGGGGCUGCUCCUAGUACGAGAGGACCGGAGUGGACGCAUCACUGGUGUUCGGGUUGUCAUGCCAAUGGCACUGCCCGGUAGCUAAAUGCGGAAGAGAUAAGUGCUGAAAGCAUCUAAGCACGAAACUUGCCCCGAGAUGAGUUCUCCCUGACCCUUUAAGGGUCCUGAAGGAACGUUGAAGACGACGACGUUGAUAGGCCGGGUGUGUAAGCGCAGCGAUGCGUUGAGCUAACCGGUACUAAUGAACCGUGAGGCUUAACCUU